UUGUUUUUUAUUUAUAAUUUUAUAGAUAAUGGACGGAUUGUAGCCGUUGUUCAGUGCAAUUUGUUUAAUGAUAUUAAGUUCUUUGUUGUAAUUUUCUGUUGAGAGUGGUGUGUUAAGAAGUCUAUGUAUAAGAGUGAAAUGCAGCUAUUUUGUGUGUAUAAGGGUGAUUUGAGCUGUUAUGUAUGUUGUGUCCGUGUGUGAAGGUUUAUGGGUUUCCUUCAAAAUGCUGCUCGAUUGCUAUUGACCUCAACAGGAAAUAUGACUUCGUCCAUUUUCAUGUCAGAUAGUGCGGGUCCAUCAUAGAUAAGUGUAGGAGGAAGAGAGGGAUGUGAGCAAGAUGAAAGCUAACGGUUAAAGAAAAGAAAGAAAGACUCUUAACAAUUUUGAAAAUGGCUCAAUCGGGCUAAAAAUUCGCCCGUGUGCGAUGUCAAGCGCAAAAGUUUUACUCACCAGCGGUUCGUUGCUCUUCACCAAUUGGACUAUCUUGAUAGUUUCC